rnacentral:rRNA from 2 species
UUAAGCGACUAAGCGUACACGGUGGAUGCCCUGGCAGUCAGAGGCGAUGAAGGACGUGCUAAUCUGCGAUAAGCGUCGGUGAGGUGAUAUGAACCGUUAUAACCGGCGAUUUCCGAAUGGGGAAACCCAGUGUGUUUCGACACACUAUCAUUAACUGAAUCCAUAGGUUAAUGAGGCGAACCGGGGGAACUGAAACAUCUAAGUACCCCGAGGAAAAGAAAUCAACCGAGAUUCCCCCAGUAGCGGCGAGCGAACGGGGAGGAGCCCAGAGCCUGAAUCAGUGUGUGUGUUAGUGGAAGCGUCUGGAAAGGCGCGCGAUACAGGGUGACAGCCCCGUACACAAAAAUGCACAUAUUGUGAGCUCGAUGAGUAGGGCGGGACACGUGGUAUCCUGUCUGAAUAUGGGGGGACCAUCCUCCAAGGCUAAAUACUCCUGACUGACCGAUAGUGAACCAGUACCGUGAGGGAAAGGCGAAAAGAACCCCGGCGAGGGGAGUGAAAAAGAACCUGAAACCGUGUACGUACAAGCAGUGGGAGCCUCUUAAUGGGGUGACUGCGUACCUUUUGUAUAAUGGGUCAGCGACUUAUAUUCUGUAGCAAGGUUAACCGAAUAGGGGAGCCGAAGGGAAACCGAGUCUUAACUGGGCGCUAAGUUGCAGGGUAUAGACCCGAAACCCGGUGAUCUAGCCAUGGGCAGGUUGAAGGUUGGGUAACACUAACUGGAGGACCGAACCGACUAAUGUUGAAAAAUUAGCGGAUGACUUGUGGCUGGGGGUGAAAGGCCAAUCAAACCGGGAGAUAGCUGGUUCUCCCCGAAAGCUAUUUAGGUAGCGCCUCGUGAAUUCAUCUCCGGGGGUAGAGCACUGUUUCGGCAAGGGGGUCAUCCCGACUUACCAACCCGAUGCAAACUGCGAAUACCGGAGAAUGUUAUCACGGGAGACACACGGCGGGUGCUAACGUCCGUCGUGAAGAGGGAAACAACCCAGACCGCCAGCUAAGGUCCCAAAGUCAUGGUUAAGUGGGAAACGAUGUGGGAAGGCCCAGACAGCCAGGAUGUUGGCUUAGAAGCAGCCAUCAUUUAAAGAAAGCGUAAUAGCUCACUGGUCGAGUCGGCCUGCGCGGAAGAUGUAACGGGGCUAAACCAUGCACCGAAGCUGCGGCAGCGACACUAUGUGUUGUUGGGUAGGGGAGCGUUCUGUAAGCCUGUGAAGGUGGCCUGUGAGGGUUGCUGGAGGUAUCAGAAGUGCGAAUGCUGACAUAAGUAACGAUAAAGCGGGUGAAAAGCCCGCUCGCCGGAAGACCAAGGGUUCCUGUCCAACGUUAAUCGGGGCAGGGUGAGUCGACCCCUAAGGCGAGGCCGAAAGGCGUAGUCGAUGGGAAACAGGUUAAUAUUCCUGUACUUGGUGUUACUGCGAAGGGGGGACGGAGAAGGCUAUGUUGGCCGGGCGACGGUUGUCCCGGUUUAAGCGUGUAGGCUGGUUUUCCAGGCAAAUCCGGAAAACCAAGGCUGAGGCGUGAUGACGAGGCACUACGGUGCUGAAGCGACAAAUGCCCUGCUUCCAGGAAAAGCCUCUAAGCAUCAGGUAACAUCAAAUCGUACCCCAAACCGACACAGGUGGUCAGGUAGAGAAUACCAAGGCGCUUGAGAGAACUCGGGUGAAGGAACUAGGCAAAAUGGUGCCGUAACUUCGGGAGAAGGCACGCUGAUAUGUAGGUGAAGCGACUUGCUCGUGGAGCUGAAAUCAGUCGAAGAUACCAGCUGGCUGCAACUGUUUAUUAAAAACACAGCACUGUGCAAACACGAAAGUGGACGUAUACGGUGUGACGCCUGCCCGGUGCCGGAAGGUUAAUUGAUGGGGUUAGCGGUAACGCGAAGCUCUUGAUCGAAGCCCCGGUAAACGGCGGCCGUAACUAUAACGGUCCUAAGGUAGCGAAAUUCCUUGUCGGGUAAGUUCCGACCUGCACGAAUGGCGUAAUGAUGGCCAGGCUGUCUCCACCCGAGACUCAGUGAAAUUGAACUCGCUGUGAAGAUGCAGUGUACCCGCGGCAAGACGGAAAGACCCCGUGAACCUUUACUAUAGCUUGACACUGAACAUUGAGCCUUGAUGUGUAGGAUAGGUGGGAGGCUUUGAAGUGUGGACGCCAGUCUGCAUGGAGCCGACCUUGAAAUACCACCCUUUAAUGUUUGAUGUUCUAACGUUGGCCCCUAAUCGGGGUUGCGGACAGUGUCUGGUGGGUAGUUUGACUGGGGCGGUCUCCUCCUAAAGAGUAACGGAGGAGCACGAAGGUUGGCUAAUCCUGGUCGGACAUCAGGAGGUUAGUGCAAUGGCAUAAGCCAGCUUGACUGCGAGCGUGACGGCGCGAGCAGGUGCGAAAGCAGGUCAUAGUGAUCCGGUGGUUCUGAAUGGAAGGGCCAUCGCUCAACGGAUAAAAGGUACUCCGGGGAUAACAGGCUGAUACCGCCCAAGAGUUCAUAUCGACGGCGGUGUUUGGCACCUCGAUGUCGGCUCAUCACAUCCUGGGGCUGAAGUAGGUCCCAAGGGUAUGGCUGUUCGCCAUUUAAAGUGGUACGCGAGCUGGGUUUAGAACGUCGUGAGACAGUUCGGUCCCUAUCUGCCGUGGGCGCUGGAGAACUGAGGGGGGCUGCUCCUAGUACGAGAGGACCGGAGUGGACGCAUCACUGGUGUUCGGGUUGUCAUGCCAAUGGCACUGCCCGGUAGCUAAAUGCGGAAGAGAUAAGUGCUGAAAGCAUCUAAGCACGAAACUUGCCCCGAGAUGAGUUCUCCCUGAGACUUAGAGUCUCCUGAAGGAACGUUGAAGACGACGACGUUGAUAGGCCGGGUGUGUAAGCGCAGCGAUGCGUUGAGCUAACCGGUACUAAUGAACCGUGAGGCUUAACCUU